CACGAAGUUGGAAUUGCUAGUAAUCGCGGAUCAGCAUGCCGCGGUGAAUACGUUCCCGGGCUUUGUACACACCGCCCGUCCAAACCAUGAAAGUUGGGAACACCCGAAGCCGGUGAGCUAACCGCAAGGAGGCAGCCGUCGAAGGUGGGUUCAAUGAUUGGGGUUAAGUCGUAACAAGGUACC
rnacentral:rRNA from 1 species